UACAAUAUGGCGGAAGUGUGCGAGAACGUGAGAAACGUGAGAGUCGAUCGAAUUUUGUUCUUGUUAUUUUUCAAUAAUUAAGUGGAUAAUAAUUAUCAACCAAACGCAUUAAGUUUAGUUGCGCAUUAAACAACGGAUAAGGUUGGAACUUCACACAGCUUCUGUGCAGUGAGACGAAAUCGUGUUCGCGGUCUUGCAUGAGUCGUUAAUGAAUGCAAUUCAAUUGUAAUUCGAUUGAUGUGAUGUGCAGAGGCGAGGCGCGAUUCGUUGCCUCGUUCCUUGGUUCGCUUGUUCGCUUGGAAACAGCGGGAGGAAACGAAGAAAGGAAAAGAGAGAAUGGCGAGGGAAGGAAGAGGGCGGGUGUAAGGGUAAGCACCAAACCUGCCGAGGAAUAGCUUCACGCAUGCUUCCCACGUGACUCAGCCGCUCGAGCAUAGAUACGUAUCGUUUGGUAAGCCCUCUGUGUACAACCUGCACGCACGAUGCGUGGCGAAACGUCGUUUCGACUGGUCGUGUUCAUGACUCAACCGAGCCACUAACCUGCUCCUGCGUUUUUCAGUUCUCCCUCGUUUCUUCAUUUAUGCUCCCUUCAUCGUAUAUGAAUAUGACGCAUCUUUGGAAACUUCGAUUCAAAGGCCAAACUUCCGCCUUUCUGAGAAGUAUCAUCAGUUACGAGAAAUAUUACGUGGACAUUGUGAGGAAGCGAAAGUCACGUCCAUUUCCCGAUAUGUGAAACAUUUUCACAGAAGUCAGAAUGUGUGCAUAAUAUUCAACGAAUAAUUAAAAUUCUCAAACCUUGGCGAUCGAUCGUUAAUUCAA